UACGGGGGGGGCAAGCGUUGUUCGGAAUUACUGGGCGUAAAGGGCGCGUAGGCGGCCACUGCAAGUCGGUUGUGAAAUCUCCGGGCUUAACCCGGAAAGGUCAACCGAUACUGCAGGGCUAGAGUGCAGAAGGGGCAACUGGAAUUCUCGGUGUAGCGGUGAAAUGCGUAGAUAUCGAGAGGAACACCUGCGGCGAAGGCGGGUUGCUGGGCUGACACUGACGCUGAUGCGCGAAAGCUAGGGGAGCGAACGGG
rnacentral:rRNA from 1 species